rnacentral:rRNA from 1 species
GUAGGUGGCAAGCGUUGUCCGGAAUUAUUGGGCGUAAAGCGCGCGCAGGCGGUUCUUUAAGUCUGAUGUGAAAGCCCACGGCUCAACCGUGGAGGGUCAUUGGAAACAGGAGAACUUGAGUACAGAAGAGGAAAGCGGAAUUCCACGUGUAGCGGUGAAAUGCGUAGAGAUGUGGAGGAACACCAGUGGCGAAGGCGGCUUUCUGGUCUGUAACUGACGCUGAGGCGCGAAAGCGUGGGGAGCAAACAGGGAUUAGAUACCCUGGUAGUCCACGCCGUAGACGAUGAGUGCUAAGUGUUAGGGGGUUUUCCGCCCCCCUUAGUGCUGCAGCUAACGCAUUGAGCACUCCGCCCUGGGAGUACGGCCGCAAGGCUG